GCCUUGCCAGCCCGCUCAGAAACUCGAAAGGAAGUUGACGGGGGCCCGCACAAGCGGUGGAGUAUGUGGUUUAAUUCGAUGCAACGCGAAGAACCUUACCUGGUCUUGACAUCCCGGAGACCCUUAGGAAACUAGGGGGUGCUUCCAUCUGGAAGAAUCUGGAGACAGGUGCUGCAUGGCUGUCGUCAGCUCGUGUCGUGAGAUGUUGGGUUAAGUCCCGCAACGAGCGCAACCCUUGCCUUUAGUUGCCAGCAGUUCGGCUGGGCACUCUAAAGGGACUGCCGGUGUUAAACCGGAGGAAGGUGGGGAUGACGUCAAGUCCUCAUGGCCUUUAUGACCAGGGCUACACACGUACUACAAUGGCCGAUACAAAGGGCAGCGACACUGCGAGGUGAAGCCAAUCCCGUAAAAUCGGUCUCAGUCCGGAUUGGAGUCUGCAACUCGACUCCAUGAAGUUGGAAUCGCUAGUAAUCGUGGAUCAGCAUGCCACGGUGAAUACGUUCCCGGGCCUU
rnacentral:rRNA from 1 species